GAUCAUGGCUCAGAACGAACGCUGGCGGCAGGCCUAACACAUGCAAGUCGAGCGCGCCCUUCGGGGUGAGCGGCGGACGGGUUAGUAACGCGUGGGAACGUACCCUUUGGUAGGGAAUAGCCACUGGAAACGGUGAGUAAUACCCUAUGAGCCCUUCGGGGGAAAGAUUUAUCGCCGAAGGAUCGGCCCGCGUUAGAUUAGGUAGUUGGUGGGGUAAUGGCCUACCAAGCCUACGAUCUAUAGCUGGUUUUAGAGGAUGAUCAGCAACACUGGGACUGAGACACGGCCCAGACUCCUACGGGAGGCAGCAGUGGGGAAUCUUGGACAAUGGGGGCAACCCUGAAUCCAGCCAUGCCGCGUGAGUGAAGAAGGCCUUAGGGUCGUAAAGCUCUUUCGCCUGUGAAGAUAAUGACGGUAGCAGGUAAAGAAACCCCGGCUAACUCCGUGCCAGCCGCAGC
rnacentral:rRNA from 1 species